AAUUCAUGUAUAGGACAGUUCCGCAGUAAAGCCUUGAAUCUUUCCCAUGCUUCAUACAAGUUUUCAUCCUACAUUUACUUGAAUAAAGUUAAACCAUUUCGAAGUUU